UGGGCCCGUUAAUGGACGCUGAGGGACGAAAGGUAGGGGAGCGAAAGGGAAUAGAUACCCAUGUAGUCCCUAGCUGUAAACGAUGGAUUCUAGGUGUUUGGGCGUAUCGACCCGUCCAGUACGGUAGCUAACGCGUUAAGUAUCCCGCCUGGGGAGUACGCACGCAAGUGUGAAACUCAAAGGAAUUGACGGGGGCCCGCACAAGCGGUGGAGGAUGUGGUUUAAUUCGAUGCAACGCGAAGAACCUUACCAAGGCUUGACAUCCUGCGAAUCCUUCAGAGAUGGAGGAGUGCCUUCGGGAGCGCAGAGACAGGUGGUGCAUGGCUGUCGUCAGCUCGUGUCGUGAGAUGUUGGGUUAAGUCCCGCAACGAGCGCAACCCUCGUUCUUAGUUGCCAGCAUUAAGUUGGGCACUCUGGGGAGACUGCCGUGGACAACACGGAGGAAGGUGGGGACGACGUCAAGUCAUCAUGCCCCUUACGCCCUGGGCUACACACGUCCUACAAUGGCCGGAUAUAGAGGGCAGCGAAGCCGCGAGGUGGAAGCGAAUCCCAGAAAGCCGUGUCUCAGUUCGGAUUGCAGGCUGCAACUCGCCUGCAUGAAGUCGGAAUCGCUAGUAAACGCAGAUCAGCAUGCUGCGUUGAAUACGUUCCCGGGCCUUGUACACACCGCCCGUCACACCACGAAAGUUUGUUCAACCCGAA
rnacentral:rRNA from 1 species